UCUGUCAUUGGAACACUAUCUGAGGAAGUUCUUGGUCUAGCUGCCGGUGUUGAAACUUCAACAGAAGUGUGGACGACUUUGAUGUAGCAUUGAUGGAUUUGAAGUUCUUCAGAGAGGAAGAACUUCAAAUCCAUCAAUGACUACAUCAGGGGAUUCAAACAAAUUUGCGAUGAACUCAAUGCAAUCGGCUCGCCAAUGAAGGAGCAACAAAAGGCAUUUGGGUUACUCAAAGGUCUAGUUAAAGAAUAUGAAUCUUUUGAUACUACUAUGAUGAAGCCCCUAUGCCAUCUUAUAAUGACACUGCACAACUAUUGCAAAGCUAUGAAAACAUGAGAACUUUACAUAAUACUGUUGAAACUACUGAUGAUCAUGCUGCAUUCCUUGCUCAAAAUAAGAUCAAUAGCAAAUAGUACGAAAAUAAUAGACAGGGGCAGAACUACUUCAAUUCAAGAGUGAAGGGCUUCACACAAGCUGUACAAAGACCACCGGAGUCGCCACAAGGAAACCAAGACGUUCUGCUAUAGACUGUUGGCAUCGAUUCAACCAAGGUUUUCAACCAGGUGAUGCAGCCCAAGCCCUCGCAGCUUUGAAGUUUACAGACAACCAGAAUGAAGCAUGGUUUCCGGACACUGGUGCCACUCAACAUAUGACCAGAUGAAGAGCAGGGAGAUAGGGAAAAUAAUAACAAGAGGAACUAGGAAUGGAGGCCUCUACGCUCUUCAAACUGAUCAAAAGAAGGCAUUCUAUUCCAACAGAUUUCAAGCUGCAAGCACUACUACUUGGCACCAAA